CCUACGGGAGUCAGCAGUGAGGAAUAUUGGUCAAUGGACGAGAGUCUGAACCAGCCAAGUAGCGUGAAGGAUGAAUGCCCUAUGGGUUGUAAACUUCUUUUAUAAAGGAAUAAAACGAGGCACGUGUGCCUUUUUGCAUGUACUUUAUGAAUAAGGAUCGGCUAACUCCGUGCCAGCAGCCGCGGUAAUACGGAGGAUCCGAGCGUUAUCCGGAUUUAUUGGGUUUAAAGGGAGCGUAGAUGGGUUGUUAAGUCAGUUGUGAAAGUUUGCGGCUCAACCGUAAAAUUGCAAUUGAUACUGGCAGUCUUGAGUACAGGUGAGGUAGGCGGAAUUCGUGGUGUAGCGGUGAAAUGCUUAGAUAUCACGAAGAACCCCGAUUGCGAAGGCAGCUUACUAAACUGUGACUGACAUUGAUGCUCGAAAGUGUGGGGAUCAAACAGGAUUAGAUACCCGUGUAGUC
rnacentral:rRNA from 1 species